rnacentral:lncRNA from 1 species
CAUUAUUGCGUACGAGUCGUUCUAUCGGCACGUGAUCCCACUUAAGGCCGAAGAGCUCGGCAAAAUUUUGCUCCCUCUUUUGUGCAUCGAGGGUCGAGCUCCACGGCAUGACGGCUUCAACUCUUGAAGCUGGCUCAAUGCGAACCUUCCCCCUACCAGAGUUCCAAGUUGGGAAAAGGGCGAGGAAGAAGAGGAAGAGGAAGAAGUUCCCCAGCUCAUACUGAAUAGAAGGAGGAAUCGGGUGAUUCUUGAGAUAGAGCCAGAAGUUCCUACCUAGCCCAUCUCUAUCUCUAGCUUGGACAGCGAGCAUCCAUACAAUAUUGCUUAUAAUCCACUCUAACUUGCAAUCGAGGUAGAGAUAGUCUGAGGCGACAAUCUUAACAAUAGCUCGGUGUCAGGCAGUAUGAGGUUUAGAAUAUUGGGCUAGAAGAGGACCAUUUUAGAUGUUGAUCCUCUCGCGGUAGCAACCAUCUAUCAACUAAGUGCCUCUACCAGCCCCUACUCUAGCUUUAGCACUGGUUGAACAGACAGGAGUCAAGUCAAGCUCGUUGGGGGCACCACUCUUAGAUAAACGCAAGGGAAUAUAGCCUAUGGGGGUUCCUCUGAGAAGUCUAAAACAAAGAAGGGGCAGGGCAGAUCUGAUGUUCAAACUGAGCUCUAAAAGCCUGAAUUCUCCACCAUUGAGCUUGGCAAACAGGUGACAAUUGCUGACUCUGCUAAGGAUCACAACACUAGUUUAGCCUUUGUGCGGGUGAUCAUGUUUCCUAAGGAUGUUGCUGACCUUGUGGGUGAGGUAUCGAAGGAGAUUCGGGAUCUUAUGGUGAUGCAACAAAUUUAGGUAAUUAUUCUAACUUCAGGUAUUCUGUAGUCUGGAUGUAUACACUUCUGACACUUUAACAUUUUUCUUUACUUUUGCCUUAUAGGGCCUCUAGAGAGCCGCGACAGACUCGGACCAAAUGAAGCAGUAGUCAGUCGAGCUAAAGAAGACAAAAAAAAGGUGGGCAGCCUGAAAUCUGAACUGAACAAGACCAAGCUCAUACUGUCUACCGCCGAUCAAUUGAAGACUGAUUUGGCUACUGCUGAACAAGUGCAGGAUGCCAGCUAUGCGGUUACGACCUUGGCUUAGAACAAAGUUGUUGUUGUUGGGGCUCAGAGGGACAAGGCUGUUUGAGAUCUCAUAAAGCUUUAGGCGAUAACCUGUGGUCUUAUCUAUGAAUGAGUCUUCAAUAGAGGAAUUAACUAAGAAUGAGACAAUUACGACAGGCAAGUUGUCGAGCUCUGCCCUGGGGUUUAUAUGGAGGCGUAGCUUGCAUGUUUGGUUGAGCUCGACAUCCCUAAAGAUAACCCAGCUUGGGCCAAGGCUGCUCCUAUAGUCGAGUUUCCUAAACCCCCCGAGCCUUACUCGCCUCUGAUCUUGCUUAGCUUAAAUGAGGAAGAAUACCUGAAUCAACCCACCGAGGAGGAUGGUAAGGAGGCUCAAGCGAGUAAGGCUACCGACCCUGAGGGGGAAGCAUCCACAGAUGAAGCUGGGAAAGUGGCAACUGAAGCUAAGGAAGUAGCAACUAAAGUUUGAGAAGCUGCAGUUUAGGAUCCUCUUGACAAGCUUUGAUGUGUUCUUCUUAUUUUCAUUUUCUUUGUACAAACUUGUAAAGAUUCAUGAUAGAACUCUAUUUUCACUUUUCAGCUCAUUUAUGUGAAACUAACUUCUUUUAAUGCUUUCACUCUUAAUCGUUGUCUAAGCAAUUUUCAACAAUCUUUGAAGGACAGAGUUCAGAACUCGCAUAGAGCUCAGCUAACUCAUCACUAAAAUUCAUAUUAAGUAUAUUUAGGCAAUAUUCACAUGAUAGAGUUCUAAACUCGCAUAGAGUUUGGUUAAUUCUUGCUUGAAAUUGUUUCCAAAUGUACUUAGACACACCUCGAGGGACAGAGUUCGGACCUUGUAUAGAAUUCGGUUAACUUUUCUCAAAACAUUUUGCUAAGUAUACUUAAGUAGCAUUUACAGGACAAAGCUAGGAACUUGCAUGGAGUUCGGUUAACUCUUCUUUGAAAUCCUUACUAGAUUUAAUUUCAGCAAAACUCGAGGAACAGAGUUCUGAAUUCGCAUAGAAUUCGGCUAACUCUUCUAUAUUGUUACAGCUGCUCGACCAAGUUGCAAGGAUGGAUUCUUUUCCAUGCUUAGCACAGCUCAUACAGACAAAUUAAGUAAUGCCAUAGCCAAAAACUGUUAUUUUUGGCAUGAUUAUAGCGCAUAGUACUUUUUUUGACCUUUCCUUAUAAUGUCCAAGCCAAAUGCUUAUAGCGGUUCUACGAUCUUGUCCACAUUUUGUCCUUAAGACAUCAUCAAGCCAAAGGUAAAUCAAAAGUUUCAAAAUGAGUAAUUUCUUAUAAAAUUAUAAAAAAUGUUUAAUUUCGAUAACAACAGAAAAUAUAAUCUCUGAGUAAAAGUGUAUUUGACAUAAAUGCAAGCUCGAUUAGGAAAAUUACAUUUUAAUGGUAGAAC